GCGCAAGAACGGACACCACCACAAAUAAAUUAUUCGUGCGUGCCUCGUUGGUAAUAGUGGUGUCGUGGUGUGUGUAAGUUGCUAGCUGGUGGCUACCCAAGUAGAGUGUUACACACGAGCAUAAGUGUACGCAGUUUUUACGUAGUUUUCAAGGUUGUUAAAUUGAAUUUUUAAACUUUUCCAAAAUAAACUACUAGUUACAAAUUUAUCGUUAAUAUGGGACGUAAAAAGAAAAAGCAAUCGAGGCCAUGGUGCUGGUAUUGCAAUAGGGAAUUUGACGAUGAAAAGAUUCUCAUUCAGCACCAAAAAGCAAAACAUUUUAAGUGUCACAUAUGCCAUAAAAAGCUUUAUACUGGUCCUGGACUAAGUAUACAUUGUAUGCAGGUUCAUAAAGAGACAAUAGAUAAAGUUCCAAACUCACUUCCAAAUCGUAGUAAUAUAGAAAUAGAAAUCUAUGGUAUGGAAGGUAUUCCUCCAGAUGAUCUGAAGGAGCACGAAAGGCAAAGAAAUGGUGGUCGACCUGGCUCACCAAGUUCUGGUGAAGAUGAGCCAGUUCCUAAAAAAUCCAAACCAGAAGGUUUGUUAGGUACUGCACCUGGAGCAGGCAUGAUGCAUGGGAUGCCUGGACAUCCAGGAAUGCAUAUGGGCCAAUUCCCACCAUCUAUGCAUCAUAUGAUGGGACACAUGGGACAUGUUGGUCCGCCAUUCAUAGGACCUGGUAUGAUGCCAGGAAUGCCUCCAGGCAUGCCACCAGUAAGUGCAGCAUCAUUGCCAAGUAGGCCACUAUUUCCUAGUGCCACAGCUGUUUCCUCAGCAGCAUCGACUGGUGUUUCUACACCAUUAGGAGCUGAUUUCAAGCCCAUCACAUCUAUAGCUGGCAGUUCUAUAGGACCUGUUAAACCCACAUUUCCUGCUUAUAGCAGUGGAGAUAACGGGACCUCAACGUCUACUACCUUUAGUGAUACAAAAGUUAACAUGAUUGCCACCACUGGUGCAACUAGUAAAAUCAUUCACCCUCCAGAAGAUCUCAGUCUGGAGGAAAUCCGGGCGAGAUUACCAAAGUAUCAGCGUAAAAACGGUGACGAGUCUCGCUUGGGCCAGUCAGAGUCGGCCGCCCAUCAGCAACAGCAGCAACAAGCAGCAGCGUUGCAACAACAACAAGCGCAUCAUCAACAGCAACAAGCGGUAGCAGUGGCAGCUGCAGCGGCUCAUCAGCAUCAAGCAGCGGCGGCGGCUGCGCUGCAAGAUCAACAACAACGCCAACAGGCUGCAUUGAGCGCGCUGCAGCAGCAACAGCAGCAACAGCAACGUUUUCCAAGGCCACCACAAGUAAUGGCAAUGCCACAGGUGUCGGCGGCCAUGCCUGUGAGUUCGGUCGCACUCAUGGCACCGCUUAUGCGACCGACCAUGACAUUAGCCGCACCGGCCCUUAUUCAUGGAGGUAACAUGAUGCGACCGCCCCCCAUGGGCCUGCCACCAGGGCACCCUGUCACUCCUCGAUGAGUGUCGAUACAGAACCCCAGUCUGGUUACUAUAACCCGUGUUUUAGACAAGUACAACAAAGGUAUGAUAGGAGCAGCUCUACCACCGGGUGCAAUGCAUCCGGCCUUUGCAACUCCAAUGGGUUUCCCCGGUGCGCCGAUGCUGGCGCCUAUGAUGCACCCGCGUUUCAGAUGAUCGCCUCCGUGCGCGGAUGGGCCACCUUUGCAUUUUGUGCUCUGGGCGAGACCCUAAAAAUAUUUUUUUAAAAACUAUCAUCGGAAGGCAAAGAUGAAUACACAGGCGGAGAGAGACUUUCUUAAUUUCAAGUUAACAUGAAAAAUCAUGCACUGUUCUACAAUGACUUGACGAUCUUGGCUCUGUUGCUAUACGAGACUUCUUAUCAUUUUUUCCGCUCGUGGCUCACGUCUCUGUCUCUCUCUCUCUCUCUCUCUCUCUCUCUCUCUCUCUCUCUCUCUCUCUCUCUCUCUCUCUCUACCUCUACCUCUACCUCUCUUUCUUUCUCUCUCUCUCUUUUACUCGCUCUCUCUUUCUCUGUUUAAAGGGAAUGAAAGUCACGUAUAAAACGGAAAAAAUUGAUUAAGCUAUCUGUUUGCAAUUCUUGAUUUUGGGACUUAAAUUACACGGCUAGUGACAUAUGGUAAUAGAACUUUUGUUUACGAAUCAUGUAGAAAGGGAGAUAGUUAAUUGUCAUUGGUCGUAAAAGUUUAAGGGAUUAAAUUCGAUAAUAACAAGUGGCUUUGUAUUUUAAAUAAUACAAGUUCAGAUAAUAAAUAGCACUUCAAUGACUGCUUCUGUAAACUAAAUAAAUAAAAAAUUGUCAAUCAUCGCGUAGUAUCAACAGUCUCGAGAACCUGAUUACCGCUAGAGUAUUUAGUGAAUUUUUGUAUUAUAUUUCGUAAAGCGUAAUAAGAAAACGAGUGAAGAAGUAUAAAUGGGGACAAGCUAAGAGUAUCAAAACGUCAAGAAACAUUAAAAAUCGUUAUAAAAUGAUACUACGAGAGAGAGAGAAAGGGGGGGGGGGGAGAAAGAAAGAGCGAGCGAGUGAACUAAUGAUCGAGCGUGAACAAACAAAUAGAGUGCGAGAGAUUGUGAUAUCUGUCUAUACUGUGCCACUCGAGAAAAGACAAAAAAAACUCAAUCUUAAUUACAAAAAAAAAUAAACGAGAGGAUGCUGAAGCAGCGGCCACCACACACAACACUGCAAAAAAAUAAACAGAGAAAAUAAGUCAGAAUUUUGUUCAAAUAUUACUGUUGUUUUUCUAAUUUGUAUAUUUAUUAACUUAAUUGCAUUGCUGAUAUUAGUACAGGCGACCAAAUCUCGCCUAUCUUUGCUUUGCACCGAGUUCGUUCAUCGAGUUUUUUCGAAUUAAACACAACACAUACCAUUAAGAAGUGAAUAUGCGCCAGAAAAAAUAGAAUUUGUUAUUUUUUUUACGUUGAAAAGGUUAUGACGGAUUGGUUUCUUUUCCUCUCUUAACUUUUAUAAUGUUUAAAGUUUGUACAUAGACAUUGUACAUGUAUGAUUUUUAGAUAAGACAAUUAAUUAACACGUUUAGCUAUUAUAGCGAUUUGCGUUUCUUGAGAAAUCAAUUAUAAAUGGUCAAUUAUAAUUUGUUGUAUUGAUCAUACGCAUAUGUAAACAUUUGUACAAGUAAAUGUGUAUAUUAUAAUAUAAGUUUUGUUAAAUAUCAUUCUCUUGGUGUAUUAUGUGAACACUAUCGGCCGGUUUUCGAUGUCUUUUUGAAACACAAUUAGAAACGUUCUCAUAUGUAUAUAAUUACGCAUAGAAGACUACAAUUUAUUAUUACAUGACGUUUUCCACACUCACAUACACAUGCACAAACACACAAUUUCAACAUAGUUUGGUGGAAAAUUUUAAAUUCAAACGCGACGCUCGAUGAAUUUUCUCGGUGCGAGAGGGACAGAUAGAAAAAAAAGAAAGAAAUAUAACGAGGAACAUUAAAAAGUUCACUGGUAUAUGAGUGAGUGGUAAGUACAGCGACCACGUUCUCAGUGAAAAUUUAGACAUCGACUGUACGAGACAAAGUAAACACACACAAGUUUUUCUCUCCGGUCAAGCUUCGAUCGAUUAUCUCAAGUUUCUUAUCAGUGAAAGUCUGUGUGUCUCUAAAUUUCGCAAUCGAAACUUCAAUCUCCUCUCAAUCACCCCAAGACAACGACAAACGUUAAAGAAAUGAAUUUCUGCGCCGUGCAACUGUACGUAUUAAAAACAACAACAACAAAAGUAAUCAUAAAGCUACGCAUUGUGUUGACGGCUAAGUACCCUUGCGCGCCGUCGUUCGCUGACAAUACAAUUUGUUAAACAUUGUAUAAAUGAUAAAAUACUGAGUGCGCGCGAGCGUCGACGCGCGAGGAGCUACGUAGAACGUUCUGUUACUUAUAUAUUACUGAGUGUCAUUCUUUCUGAAUAAAAGAUCUUGAUCUGUGGAACGGGGAAGAACCUCGAUACGUUUGUUUACAUCCUUGCGAUCGAAUAAACUAAUGAAAUAAAAGAAAAGCAAGCGCACAAGGACGACGAGCGUUCGGGGUUCAUUUUUUCGCCUACAUACAUUGUUUCAACCAAUCACAGCUGUUAGCGCUGUUGGACCUUACCGGUCCCUUGCCGCUUCAGGCAGGCGAUUGUUUGGUCCUACCGUCUUGGACCUCGAGGCUACGUCUAAUUUUUUGUUUUCAAUGUAUGCAUCGCCAAACUACUUACACAUGGCUUAAUUCGAUUCGGUAAAGCCUCGAGAUCCGUGGAGACGCGUGGCUGGACCGAGAAACAAUAAUAUUUAUUGUACAUGGCAAUAAUUGAUUCUUGUAAAUGCUAUAUAUUCACUGAAUGACGAACGUUUGUAACGCCGCUAUAUCCGAGGUCAAUCACCAAUUUGUCUCUUCUUUUUUGUUGUUUCUUCUAAUAUUUCUUUUGUACUUGGUACGUUCAUUUUUUCUAUGAUCUUUUCCUUUUUUUCCUUUUUGCAAUUUACAAAUGUGAAAAUAUAUAUGCGAUUGCUAUUUUACACAAGCUCGGUGAUGUACACUGCUAUGAUUACCAUUUCAUACGUAUAAAGUGAGAGUGUAUUUUCUUUUUUCUUCAUUAUUUUUUUUCUCCUUUUUUCCUUUUUGUUGGAAUGUAAACCGGGUGUACUUGUUUGGUCUGAAAGAAAAAUUUAGCAUCCAUCGAAAAAGAAACAUCACUGGCUCCUUUCAGCCGACUGGGCGUCUCAAUAAAGAAGAGAGAACAAAAUCAGUUUUAAGCUUAUUACCUCUUAGUGUAUGCCUACACGUGAAAAAUCGUGUAUUUAUUGACGUAAUAAUGAAUAAAGAAAUGAAUUUGUUACAAGA